UACAUACUCCCUCCGUCCCAAAAUCCUUGUCUUAAAUUUGUCUAAAUACGAAUGUAUCUAGUUAUAGUAUUUAGAUACAUCUAUUACUAGACAAACCUAAAACAAGAAUUUUGAGACAGAUGAAGUACUAU
rfam:Hordeum vulgare subsp. vulgare, WGS project CAJW01000000 data, contig: morex_contig_368549